GGUUACCGUAGCAACCAGUAACUGCCAGCUCCUCCCCCUCUUUUCUGUUGCCUUCAGCAACUGUGUUCAGAGUGAUAAGCCUCCAGCUGACAGAGCCGGCCGUUUGUCGCCCCAUCGAAGUGAAAAACAGGAAACAAGCUGAAGCUGAAGGAGGAACAGACUGCAGGCUAAUAAUCUUUCACCUCUGAGCGGAGGUGAAAGCAAUGGCCUUUUGCUGAAUUUCCUUCCUCUUAAUCAAUGACACUGCGUCUGAGAAAAUAUCUCCAGGAGGACGAGGGCAGAGCUGGGCAUCCAUCAUCCACCAUGCCGACAGUGCUGGUACAAUUGAAUCAGUGUGUCGGGAUUUAUUUAGCAUUCAUCAAAAAGAAGAAGGAAGUUAAAAUAAAGUGACAAAUGAGAGUCACUCCUCACUGAUCGAUUACAAUCUCAUUUGUGGCGGGGAGAAUGGAGGGACACUUCAAUCAAUAUUUCAACUGAAUGAACGA